rnacentral:tRNA from 1 species
GUUUUAAUAAUUUAAGUAAAAAUAUUGGUCUUGUAAAUCAAAUUUAAGAAUUUUCUUUUAAAACU